UACGUAGGGUGCAAGCGUUAAUCGGAAUUACUGGGCGUAAAGCGUGCGCAGGCGGUGAUGUAAGACCGAUGUGAAAUCCCCGGGCUCAACCUGGGAACUGCAUUGGUGACUGCAUCGCUUGAGUAUGGCAGAGGGGGGUAGAAUUCCACGUGUAGCAGUGAAAUGCGUAGAGAUGUGGAGGAAUACCGAUGGCGAAGGCAGCCCCCUGGGUCAAUACUGACGCUCAUGCACGAAAGCGUGGGGAGCAAACAGGAUUAGAAACC
rnacentral:rRNA from 1 species